UAGUGAGUCGAUGGACAGUGACACCAGAGCGGGCUGUUAAAUUGGAUUUCCUGAUUUCAAGUUGACCACUUUGGUGCAUAACUGUGGAUGGGGUAAAGUAGUGGAGCAGCUACAUCGGAUUUAUAAAUUGUUGGUAGGGGAAUUUUACGCCAACUUCAAUACAGAAAUUGACACACCAGGAUCCGACCACCUGCAUCAGACUUGGUCAGGGGAAAAUGGAUCAAAAAUUUUCUGAAGUUUAGACUUUAGUUACUACCAUAAAAUUCUAAAUUUAACCCUGUGAAAAAUGGUUUGCUUGCUGAUUUGGCAUAUCUGUCACUUCCUUUCUCUUUAUCUUCUAGCCCUAAUGUUGAAUAACUGUCUUAAAUGUACCGUAUUAGUUAAUUUAUGGUGUAAAUUUAUUUCUUAUAUUUCGUUGAAAAGUUA
rnacentral:lncRNA from 1 species